rnacentral:rRNA from 1 species
AGUGAACGCUGGCGGUAGGCCUAACACAUGCAAGUCGAACGGCAGCACAGUAAGAGCUUGCUCUUACGGGUGGCGAGUGGCGGACGGGUGAGGAAUACAUCGGAAUCUACUUUUUCGUGGGGGAUAACGUAGGGAAACUUACGCUAAUACCGCAUACGACCUACGGGUGAAAGCAGGGGAUCUUCGGACCUUGCGCGAUUGAAUGAGCCGAUGUCGGAUUAGCUAGUUGGCGGGGUAAAGGCCCACCAAGGCGACGAUCCGUAGCUGGUCUGAGAGGAUGAACGACCCACCUGGACUUGAGAACCGGCCCAAACCCCAAGGGGGGGCAGAGGGGGGGAAGAUUGGAAAAGGGGCGAAAGCCUGAUCCACCCAUACCGGGGGGGGGAAGAAGGCCUUCGGGUGGUAAAGCCCUUUUGUUGGGAAAAAAAAGCAGCAGGUUAAAACCCCGCUGUUCGGACGGUACCCAAAGAAUAAGCACCGGCUAACUUCGU